rnacentral:rRNA from 1 species
GACGAACGCUGGCGGCGUGCUUAACACAUGCAAGUCGAACGCUGAAGCACCACCUUUCUGGUGUGGAUGAGUGGCGAACGGGUGAGUAAUACGUGAGUAACCUGCCCUUGACUCUGGGAUAAGUCCGGGAAACUGGGGCUAAUACUGGAUGCUACAUGUCGCCGCAUGGUGGGGUGUGGAAAGGUUUUGCUGGUGUUGGUUGGGCUCCCGGCCUAACAGCUUGUUGGGGGGGUUAUGGCUCACCAAGGCGUUGACGGGAAGCCGGCCCGGGGGGGUGACCGGGCAAACUGGGACCGGGGCACCGCCCAGGAUCCUACCGGGGGGAGGCGGGGGGAAUAUUGCCCCAUGGGCGGGAGCCUUAUGCAGGGAAGCCGCGUGGGGGAUGACGGCCUUCCGGUUGUAAACCUGCUUCAGCAGGGGAGGAGCCGCAAGUGACGGUACCUGCAGAAGAAGCGCCGGCUAACUACGUG